rnacentral:rRNA from 1 species
UGGAUUAAUUCGAUGCAACGCGAAGAACCUACUACCCUUGACAUGUCCGGAACUUGCCAGAGAUGGCUUGGUGCCCGAAAGGGAAUCGGAACACAGGUGCUGCAUGGCUGUCGUCAGCUCGUGUCGUGAGAUGUUGGGUUAAGUCCCGCAACGAGCGCAACCCUUAUCAUUAGUUGCUACGCAAGGGCACUCUAAUGAGACUGCCGGUGACAAACCGGAGGAAGGUGGGGAUGACGUCAAGUCCUCAUGGCCCUUAUGGGUAGGGCUUCACACGUCAUACAAUGGUCGGUACAGAGGGUUGCCAAGCCGCGAGGCGGAGCCAAUCCCACAAAGCCGAUCGUAGUCCGGAUUGUUCUCUGCAACUCGAGAGCAUGAAGUCGGAAUCGCUAGUAAUCGCAGGUCAGCAUACUGCGGUGAAUACGUUCCCGGGUCUU